AACGAACGCUGGCGGCAUGCCUAACACAUGCAAGUCGAACGAGACCUUCGGGUCUAGUGGCGCACGGGUGCGUAACGCGUGGGAACCUGCCUUAGGUUCGGAAUAACUCAGAGAAAUUUGAGCUAAUACCGGAUGAUGUCUUCGGACCAAAGAUUUAUCGCCUUUAGAUGGGCCCGCGUUGGAUUAGCUAGUUGGUGGGGUAAAGGCCUACCAAGGCGACGAUCCAUAGCUGGUCUGAGAGGAUGAUCAGCCACACUGGGACUGAGACACGGCCCAGACUCCUACGGGAGGCAGCAGUGGGGAAUAUUGGACAAUGGGCGAAAGCCUGAGCCAGCAAUGCCGCGUGAGUGAUGAAGGCCUUAGGGUUGUAAAGCUCUUUUACCCGAGAUGAUAAUGACAGUAGCGGGAGAAUAAGCUCCGGCUAACUCCGUG
rnacentral:rRNA from 1 species